AUUCCGUGAUGAGGGUACUUUUGCAAUAAUUCUUUGUGCCAUUCCUAUACCUCAUACAAGUACUCAUCAUCCAUUUGUUAGAAAGCAAUGAUCUCAUUCCUCAACUU
rfam:Gossypium hirsutum cultivar TM-1 chromosome 9, whole genome shotgun sequence